AAUUGUUAGAGCUUAAUAUUUACCUCCUCCAUCAAAGUAAACUAUUUUAAUAAUAGACUUAAAAACGUUCUCGAUCAUCUUUUUAAAAUGAAUAAAAACUACAAUUACUUCAGAUAUAUGUUUGAGAGGAUAAAGCUAUGUAUAUUUAGUAAGUAACCUAUGAAGAUAAUAUAAAAUAUAAAAUUAUAAGCAGAAAUAUAUAUUUGUUGUUGGUACGUUAUAAGGAGAAGCAAAAAAAAAAAGAAAAGAAUGAAAGAAUGAAAGCGAAAAACAAUUAAAAUCUAAAAUGGAUAUAGAACCCAAUAUGUGGGGGAAAACCUAAGAAAGACACCAACCAGAAGAAAAAAAUAAGUGCAAAGAAAUAAGAAAAAAAAAUGUGGGUUGUUGUUGCUGCGUUAUAUGGAUAAAUAAAAAACGGUGAAAGAAAAGAAUGGAAGAAAAAAAAAAUCAAAAGAAGGCACCAACUGGGAGAAAAAAAAAGGGGGGGUUGGAUUGCUGUUGGUGCGUUAUAAGGAGAAAUAAAAAACAACAAGAAAAAAGGAAAAAAAGGAAAAAAUAAAAAAUUACCAUGUGAUGUGCCUUAUAUUUACAUCAAGAGAGUCGAUUUAAAUUAAAAAAAUUAUAUUUAUGUAUGUUUUCGAGAUCCUAUGAUUUUUUACUCAUAAGAAAAGUAGGUAGGAUUAUAGAUUAAUUAAUCUUAAUCAGAAAGAAAGAAGGAAGAAAAAAAAAUUAAAUGAUUACGAUUGGAAAUGAAAAAAUUACACUCUUUUGAUAAUAUAAAUAAUGGUGAUGUAAACUAUGAAGCUAUAUUCUGACAUCCAUUCCAAUAAACCACUUAAAAGCUGUACCGUCGACCGAACGAGCACAAGGGAAGGGAGUAUGCAUUAUAUGCUACGUUCAGGCCCUUUGAGUGAAGAUUGGCAGCCAUACACCAAACUUUCGUACGCUCACAAGUCUUUAAGGUUCUGCAUGCAGAAUGUGCAGCUUAGCAUUUCCGCCAUGGAAGGACAUAUGCGACGUAGAUGCUUGCCAAGCCAUCCAACGUGAGAUGGCUAAGAUGACCAUGAGAUUCACGUUUACGUACCUCAGCUUCCAUCCUUGGCCGACACCCAAGUGUUACGAAGGAUGAGAUGGAGAGGGAUCAUCAUCUCCAAUUCAGCCCUUGUAGGUGUUUCUUUUGACUUCAUCGCUUGCAGAACCUGAUGUGGGUCGAUCACGAGAUUCACGUUUAUGUAGGCACAUGUUAACCUUGGAGGGCUACAAAUACCCCCAUCCUCUUCCCAGAGGGAGGACGUGCAGCAUCCACCGUCUUCCCUAAGUUUCUUCCUGUGCAAAAGAAAGGAGUCUGCAAAUGGCGGGAGAGAUCAAGGUGGGGCUGUGGGGUGGCAACGGAGGGUCUGAAUGGGACAUGGGGGCUGCCGACCGCAUCACCGAAAUCAAGAUUGGCGCCGUAGAGGCCAUCUUUCGGCUGAGGACCAACAAGGACAGCUAUGGACCUUUCGGCUCCAGUGGCGGAAUACCUUUCUCCGUUCCGCUAGUCUCGGGUAAGAUCAUUGGCUUCUUUGGACGUGCGGGCGAAAUGAUUGAGGCCAUCGGAGUUUACCUGGCACCGAACUAGACCCCUUGGACUGAUACUGCUGCUUCAAUAAAUGAGUCUUGCUGAUACUUGGACUCCAUAAUAAAUGAACUGAAAUGAACUGUUACUGUCA